CGUGCAUGUGGGGGGCUUCUGCUCCGCUCCCUCCUGUUCCGGGGUCCAGCGGGCGGCUCCCCAGGCAGGCUCUGCACUUACCCGCAGCCCAGUGAUGCAGGGUCGGAGGGGUGUUCGGCAGUGGGAAAGGGCGUAGGGCAGAUGCCGGGCUGACUCUUCCUUUUGCCAGAGGAAAUCCCCUCUGCCCCCUAGUCCUCCCCCUACCAAGGCUCCCAUCACUCAUCACGGCCUCUCCCUACAGACCAGAAUCUGAGGGAGAGCAGAUUCGGCCUUGAGAACGCCUACAACAACUUCCGGCCCACCCUGGAGACUGUUGACUCUGGCACAGAGCUCCACAUCCAGAGGCCGGAGAUGGUAGCAUCCACUGUGUGAGCCAACGGGGGCCUCCCACCCUCAUCUAGCUCUGUUCAGGAGAGCUGCAAACACAGAGCCCACCACAAGCCUCCGGGGCGGGUCAAGAGGAGACCGAAGUCAGGCCCUGAAGCCGGUCCUGCUCUGAGCUGACAGACUUGGCCUGUGCUCCUGCUGGGGAAGGCUGGGGGCUGUAAGCCUCUCCAUCCGGGAGCUUCCAGACUCCCAGAAGCCUCGGCACCCCUGUCUCCUCCUGGGUGGCUCCCCACUCUGGAAUUUCCCUACCAAUAAAAGCAAAUCUUAAAGCUCAAAA
rnacentral:sRNA from 1 species